AGUGAACGCUGGCGGUAUGCCUAACACAUGCAAGUCGAACGGCGGCACAGUAAGAGCUUGCUCUUACGGGUGGCGAGUGGCGGACGGGUGAGGAAUACAUCGGAAUCUACUUUUUCGUGGGGGAUAACGUAGGAAAACUUACGCUAAUACCGCAUACGACCUACGUGUGAAAGCAGGGGAUCUUCGGACCUUUCGCGAGUGAAUGAGCCGAUGUCGGAUUAGCUAGUUGGCGGGGUAAAGGCCCACCAAGGCGACGAUCCGUAGCUGGUCUGAGAGGAUGAUCAGCAACACUGGAAAUGAGACACGGUCCAGACUCCUACGGGAGGCAGCAGUGGGGAAUAUUGGACAAUGGGCGCAAGCCUGAUGCAGCAAUACCGCGUGGGUGAAGAAGGCCUUCGGGUUGUAAAGCCCUUUUGUUGGGAAAGAAAAGCAGCAGGUUAAUACCCCGCUGUUCUGACGGUACCCAAAGAAUAAGCACCGGCUAACUUCGUG
rnacentral:rRNA from 1 species